AGCUCUGUCACAUGCUGCCAUU
rnacentral:miRNA from 10 species